rnacentral:lncRNA from 1 species
AUGUUAUGGUAAAAAAAGAGAGAGAGAAGGGGGGUGCAGGAGGGAAUACGACAGAGGAAAAGGAGGGGAAUAUAGAGAGGGCAGAUCUAGGACCAGUCUAAAUGGUUUACCCCUAUAGUAAUCUCAGCACAUGGAAAAUAAAAGAAACUGACACCAGAUCAGUGUACUCUUUGCGGCCCGUUCCAUACCACACCAAUCGGGACAUACACGAUAGAGAGGAAAUCGUGUUCCACGCCAGUCCCGCACACGCCACUAGAAUUCACUGAACAUACUGCGAGAAAAAGGAGGGUGAUAAAAAGAAGGCCAGGAUAAAGAGAAGGUGAAAGCAAAGAAGGGCUUAAAAAUAUAUUUGGUUGGGAGCGGAGGACGCAUUGACUUCGCAAGGAGAAGAUUAGCGAUUCAAAUCAUUUCCUAAAAUUUUCUAUAUUCGGCGGAUAAAAAAAGUAUUGUUAGCUAGCUAGCUACUCUUACGAGGUAGCGGAAUGUGUAGCUAGCUAAUUAGCAAGGAAUUAGUGUUUUGUAUUUACUUGGUUUACGUGUUCUAUUGUGACUAUUUUUCUAACGCUAGUAAUCGUGUGAAAUGUGCACGAGCCACACAUGGUCAUGGUGUUCUGUGUUGAUUAGACAAUAACAAUCUAGCUAGCGGUACAAUACAUUUGGCCAAGAAGACCAGCUACAAUCAGCUAUUUGCACAUUCAAGGAAUAGCGUUCCUUGUCCCAGAAUAGGGAAUAGGUCAAAGGUAGCGUAGACUAGCUGCCGUCCAAUGUUAAUGUCGACCGACGUCGCAUCCAUAAUGUUACCCGUUACUCGGGGAAUGAUGGACAGGGAAAAGGACAUUGAUACAGAAACCGGACCCCACGCGAACACGACCGGGGGUCCAGCAGCAGUAGUCCGGGGAAUGAAACGAGGGGAUCCUGAGCAAACAGCUGCAGCUUUGACCGAAUUAGCAGGAGCAGAGUGCAAACGGCCAAGGAUAGACGGGACGGUGGGUGUUGGUGACAUUGGACAGAACAACGACCCUUUAACCCCAGGUUUCCUUGGAUACCCACCUAACAGCCAGGUAAGAGUACCAUCUUACUGA